rnacentral:lncRNA from 1 species
AGCUAUAAGACCAUAUCUAUUUAAAACUACGCCAUUGACGUGGUGCUUUUCUCAUGCCAUAAAAUAUAUGGUGCUAUUCUUGCUUGUGAAUUUUCUUGUAUCAAAUUAAAUUGGUUUCGGCUCUUCAUCAAUUUACCUUAUUAAUUACUUUUACCUUCUAUAGCCCCUGACGUCAUGAUGUACGACAUCAACAGACCCUAUUGAUGG